rnacentral:rRNA from 1 species
GAUGAACGCUAGCGGCAGGCCUAACACAUGCAAGUCGAGGGGUAGAGGAAGCUUGCUCCUUGAGACCGGCGCACGGGUGCGUAACGCGUAUGCAAUCUACCUUUUACAGAGGGAUAGCCCAGAGAAAUUUGGAUUAAUACCUCAUAGUAUAUAUCAUUCGCCUGUUUGAUAUAUUAAAGUUCCAACGGUAAAAGAUGAGCAUGCGUCCCAUUAGUUAGUUGGUAAGGUAACGGCUUACCAAGACGAUGAUGGGUAGGGGUCCUGAGAGGGAGAUCCCCCACACUGGUACUGAGACACGGACCAGACUCCUACGGGAGGCAGCAGUGAGGAAUAUUGGUCAAUGGACGCAAGUCUGAACCAGCCAUGCCGCGUGCAGGAAGACGGUCCUAUGGAUUGUAAACUGCUUUUGUACGGGAAGAAACACUCCUACGUGUAGGAGCCUGACGGUACCGUAAGAAUAAGGAUCGGCUAACUCCGUGCCAGCCGCCGCGGUAAGAC